UGUUCAUAAUAUAAUAAGCACUUAAUAAUCCUAAAUUCAUCGUGUUUUAUUGCGCAUCGUACAUAAAAGCCAUCUUAAUUACUUUUGAAAUUCAUAUUUCUAAGCAAGACUGAAAAUAUCAUCUGAUUGAUAUGACGUCAAAAGUAAGUUCGGCUUCGAAAAUAGUGCGUAGCAAUUAUAUAGCUGCCAUUUUAACUUGUCGCUUUUUAAUUUUAGUUGAUAUAAAAUGGUGCCUACGAGCAGCGACGAGAGAUGUCUAUCAUAAAACAAACAUUCACUAUACGAAAAGCCACAUUUGAACAUCCUGUAAUAGUGGUUGAGAUUGAAGAUGAGGUGAUCAUCGGGAAGGACAUAAUAUCGAGUUAAGCUUUAAGCAGUUAGUCCUGAAGAUAGACCCUGAGGAAGUUGUUUUACAUCAUGACAGAGAUUACAGUUGUUGGGUCCUACUUCUAAAGAAUACCAGAUGAAAUGAUACCAGAACCGCGAGAUCAUUUUGGAGGUCGUAGUCAUGAACCCGAAAUGCAUGACAUGGCUGUUGAUCGAAGGAUAGCGGUUAGAAAGAUCUUUGUUCGUAAUGGAAGCAGUAUUUCUGUGGAGUUUUAGCAAUACUUCGACAAGUUUCGCAUGUGGAAAAGAACCGGGAAGCCAUUUUGAAAGAAUUAUAUGAGCUGGUAUGAUCGUCAGAAACCGGUCUAAGGCCAGACCAAAGAAGAGCGCUAAGACAGAUAUUGAGAUGUUUUUGAUCAUGUGAAGAAAGAGAGGAUUAACAUAGUCCAACACAAAAUCAAUAAAAAACAAUGCUCACUUGUCAAAAGAGAGGAGACUGAUAACAUUACUGAGAGUAUGGCCAAAGAAGGUAUCAUAGAACUUUCUAGCAAUCUAUGGUCUUCACCUGUGGUACUGGUAAAGAAGAAAGACGGCUCCCCAGAUUUUUCGUAGAUUACUGGGAGCUUAAUAUCCUGACUAAAAAGCAGAGCUAUCCCCUUCCUCGCUUCAUUGGCGCUUGGGACACCCUGGCUGGAUCGAAAAUCUUUUCCAUGCUAGACCUGCAAAGUGGAUACUGCUAAGUUAAGUUGGCCCCUGAAGAUCGGAAAAAAACGGCUUUUAGGAUAAAUGUUGGACUAAGGUAUAAUUUGAUUUGGUACAGUUCUCCUUCCACUCUUGAACAGUUGAUGAAAACGAUUCUAAGUGGACUGUCCUGAAAAAUAUUAUUGUAGCAGGAAAAUCGUUUAAGGACCACAUGAAAAUGUUUGAGGCUACGAGGUUCUGCACUUAAGUUGAGCCCAAAUUAAUGUAAUGUGUUUCAAAGAACUGUGCGGUAUCUGGGACACUUCGUUUCCAGCCAAGGAAUUGCAAGUGACAAGGCAAAGGUGCACACUGUCAAAGAUUGACCUACGGUAAAUAUGUAUUGGAAUUGUCACUAAUAAGAAAACUAAAACUAGGCAUUUUUAUUAAUUAAAACUACAAUAAAACAAAUUCAGACAGAGUAGAGACGGUAGUGUAAGAACAUGAACUUUAAAGCUCUUUUAAAUUCUGGCAAUGUUUUAGGAGUUCUUACAUUUCCAGGUAAGUGAUUACAAUUUUUAAGAGGCGUCCAUCCCGGACAUCAGAUAAUCUGACAAAAGAAAUAUAACAUUUAUUUGCAUUUCUAGUACUAAAAUAAUUGAGAUCUUCACACUUUACAAGAUUACCAGAACUUUUAAAGACUUCACAAGCAUAUGGGAACAUAAAGAUGUUUAUGACGGUUGAGAUUUUUUCCUUUUUAAAUAGAUUGAUAUAGAACACGACUUCCUAAAUAAAAGACUAAAAAACCACCGAAUAAUAAUUUAUUAUUCACAUAUUAGUACUCUCUCAACAUGGCAAGAAUCUCCCCAAGAAGUCAAACCGUAGAAAAUUAUUGAACUAACUGCAGCAUAGUAAAAUGUUGUUAAGAAAAAGGAAUCAACAAAAUCUCUCAAUUGCAAAAUGGUAAAGUUGCUUCGAGACAGCUUAUUUGCACACUGAAAUCGUGUAAUACCUGGUCAUAUCAUAACAAAUAGCUGUCAACAAUAAAACCUAAAAAUUUGGCAGUUUUGUGCUGGAUCGAGUUGUAAGAACCAUCCUCCAGAAGCAAGCUCUUAUCCUAAGUGACUCAGUUUGUGAUGAACACUAUAAAAUUUACCAUAUCUUUAAACUAUUCAAGCAAAGACUAUUUUUGUAACACCAGAAUACAAAUUGCUGGCUAGUGAAUGGAGAUUUUUAUAGUCUUGACUAGCCACUAUGGCUGACGUAUCAUCUGCAAAAAGGGUUACAUAGCAGUAUUCAACAAUAAGAGGCAAAUCAUUUAUAAAUAGCAGAAAGAGGAUGCGUCUCAGCAUGAGCCUCGCAGCUUCUUGGCAGGGAUUAUGCACUUACUACCGACGCUAUGUGAAAGGAUUCGUUAAUAUCGCAAAACUAUUGACCAGACACACAGAAGAAUAUAUAGAAAUACAUUUCCAAUGGCCUCAAGUUUUGCUUUCAAUCACCUAAAGGUGGCUCUGACAAGCGCAUCUAUCCUGAGCCCUAUCUGAAGGAAAAAUUAUACUAGACACCAACGCUAGCAAUGUGGCCUUUGGAGCCGUGCUAUCUCAAAUCCAGGAUGGCCUAAAUGAAUUGGCUAUUUUAGUAAGAUAGAGCAUAACUAUUGCGCCACUUGCCGAGGCUUACUAGUUGUCAAAGCGAUGGAGCACUUCUACCAUUACUUGUAUGGGAGGAAGUUUCUGCUGGGAACUGAUCAUGCCGCUUUGAAAUUGCUCCUGCAAUUUAAAAAUCCGGCGGGUGAAGUGGCAAGAUAAAGAGGUUACAGGAGUUUGACUGUGACACUAAACACCGAGCAUGAAGAAUCCAUGGCGAUGCAAAUGUCUUAUCAAAAAGGGUCUUCUCCUGAAGACUGCAAUCAUUGUCAGCGGGCAGUAAAGAAAGAUGCUCGGUUAAUACCAAAAGUAUAUUUAGUCCCGAUAUCUAGAUAGUUCUAACCUGGUUAAAGCAAGGGAUUAAACCGAUUUAGAAAGAAGUUGCUAAGUAUUCUACCACUAUCAAGUCAUAUUGAGCAUAAUGGAACUCCUUAAUUCAGAAAGGUGGACUCUUGCGACGAAAAACUUUUUUAUCUGUUUAGAAAAUUGUUUGAAAACUAAGGGAAGGAUUUUUACUAGGUCAAUAGCAAGUCAGACGUAAGGGACCAGUGAAGGAAAUGCAUUGUUUGUGAACCAAGUCCUGGACCGCAGAAAAAGCAAAAGGCUUUGAUGUGUCAGUACAACGUGGGUCCCUUUGAAUUGAUUGCUAGUGACGUUACUGGUCCGUUUUCUAAACCAGCAGCAGGAAAUAAGUACAUUGUGAUCAUGUUGGACUACUUUAGCAAAUAGGUUGAGGCAUACCUCUACCAAACCUGGAAGCAUCUACUAUCGCAGACGCCUUAAUAAAAGAAUGGAUCUGCUAAUUUGGUGUACCUUUAAACAUGCAUGCAUUGGGAUAGGUUUCUUCAUUUGUUCCUGCUUGCUUAUCGAUCGGUUAUCGAUGAAAGCACAGGAGAGUGCUCUAUUGUUUCCGGCUUGAAAAAUGAUGGAAAGAGAACUGCGUCUCCCAUACUAUCUAAAGUUUGGUUGCCCGUCAUAAACUGAUGUUGCCGGAGAGGAAUACGACAGGGAGCUGCCUAGAAAAAUGGAUGUCAUUCAUAGUCAAGUACAUAUUUCUAUCUGAGCCAAGAUGCUAGCAAGCAAUUAAAGGACACAUAUGAUAUUAACGCCAAAGAUUAAAGGUAUAACAACGAUUUUUUUCGGUUCGGCUUUAUGGCCCAAAGAGAUGAAAGGGUUUGCCUCCGAAACUUUAAACCUCUUGGGAUGGACCAUAAAAAAUUCUGGAAUGCAUCAAAGAUGUUCUUUACAGAAUACAAAAGACGCUGAGGGAUAAAGUUCGAAUCAUUCGCAUUAACCGACUGGCUUCUUAUUAUGGAAACCACGAAGACGCUGAGCUACAGCAAAUCGAAUUGGAAUAGGAUUUCACAUUUCAUUCAUGUCAUCAUUUUAAUGACCGAUACGGCAUGAUUUGUGAAGUGCAAGUUUUUCGAGUUUUUUUGCAGAAAAUUCGGAAAAAUUUAAGAGCUGCGGUCUAACUACGGCUGGUAGAAAUAUUUUCUUCUUGGUUGCCAAAGAGACGUUACAUGAGAAGCCAACCUAUAACGAAAUUUGGGACUUUACAGAAGGAUAAUGCUCUUACCAUAAAUUGGGCUAGAUCAUAGUAGAUCGUCCCUAUCACUAAGUGGACCGUAAAAAUAAAUUCAAUCACAAGAAGAAAAUGUUAUUAUAAGCCGAAUACGUCCUUUGAUAAAUCCAAAAUUCACAGGAAUGUAAACUUUUAUUACGAAGGGACAACUGAUGCCAAUAGCCAAGUUGACUGAAUUCUGAAAUCUGAAAUCAUCUCCGUUCUCGCAUUUGUCGCUUGUCUUAAACACUGUUAACUGUGCUGCGCCAUGUUGCCAAUUACUUAUUAGAUAGUCAGUGGGGACAACAAAACCCAGUGGUUGCUUUUGCGACCGAUCUAGAUAAUUUUGCUAUAAAUUUAUGAUAAAUACUCUAUUUUCCCUGGUUUUUAAAUGUUUUGUAAAUCCUAUACCUAAUUACUUCUCUACCAGAUCAACAUAUAAAUUACCUACAUUUAUAGGGUUUGUUAGACCUUUGGCAAAAGGGCACUCCGAUUUGACAGUUGUCUAAUUUAUCCUUAAUUCGUUGUCUUUUCCUAUCAAAGCAAAGAAGCAUGCAAAUCGUGUUUUUUCUGUUUACACUACUGAAAUCAGAAAUAUCAAAAAUACAAUUUAGAAGUACAUAUUUAAAAAUACGUAUAUUUAAAAAAAUCUUUCCUGGCAUAGAGUUGUAUUAACAAAAAUUUAUCUAUUUUGUUAUCGUCAUAUUAUGUCCAAUACAUGACGUAAAAUGUCCUAAACGUACGUAUAUAUGAUGUAGAAAUUUGCGGAAAGUGGAAGUCCUAUAUAAGUUCAUAGUACGUAAUACGUCUUAAGAAGUACGCACUGAGCACGAACAUUAUGUCGUCGAGUACGUACAAAAUACGUCUUUAGUGCGUAUCUGUGCUGUUUGGAAUAUUUUUUUUUAAUUCUAUGCAAUUGAAUAAUUUCAAUAGCCAUUCUUUCAUGGCAAUAUAUGUAAAUAUCUCCGGGAAACUUGCGAUCAGCUGACCGAGCCACAAAACCAACUGGCAAUAUUGAUCGCAGCUUUUGCCGGCAUUUUAAAUAAAUUUCAUUCAAUGAAAUUAAAUGUAUUUGUAUAAUCAAAUAAACAUUACAAUUUAAAUUAA